rnacentral:rRNA from 1 species
ACGAACGCUGGCGGCGUGCUUAACACAUGCAAGUCGAACGGAAAGGCCUGCUUUCCCUUGUGGAUUGCGGGUACUCGAGUGGCGAACGGGUGAGUAACACGUGAGUGAUCUGCCCCCAACUUGGGUAUAAGCCUGGGAAACUGGGUCUAAUUCCCGAUAGGACUGCAGGGUGGUGCCUGUGGUGGAAAACGAUUUUCUAGUGGUUGGGGAUGAGCUCGCGGCCUAUCAGCUUGUUGGUGGGGUAAUGGCCUACCAAGGCGGCGACGGGUAGCCGGCCUGAGAGGGUGGACGGCCACAUUGGGACUGAGAUACGGCCCAGACUCCUACGGGAGGCAGCAGUGGGGAAUAUUGCACAAUGGGCGGAAGCCUGAUGCAGCGACGCCGCGUGGGGGAUGACGGCCUUCGGGUUGUAAACUCCUUUCGACCGCGAGGAAGCCACCUGGUUGGAAGGGUGGUGACGGUAGUGGUGGAAGAAGCACCGGCUAACUACGUG